rnacentral:lncRNA from 1 species
AGGUGGUAGAGGAACAUCAACUAUUGGCUCAUGGACUAUGGGUUUUUAAGGAUCUAUAGCUCUGGGCUCUUCAGAGACUUUCUCUUCGAGAUCCACUAGCCUCUCACUGUCGCCGUCCUAGAUGAACUAUUUUUUUAGGAAUAUGGUGUUUUGACUCACAAUCACAUUGUGAUCUUGUGGAUAACAGAAGUAAUAUCUCAUGGAUUUUUUUAGAUACCCUAUAAAGUGAGCUAUAAUAGAUCUAUCCUCUAGCUUAUCCAUCAUUUAUCUCUUGACAUAGAUCAGACAUCC